GACGAACGCUGGCGGCGUGCUUAACACAUGCAAGUCGAACGGAAAGGUCCUGCUUUUGUGGGGUGCUUGAGUGGCGAACGGGUGAGUAACACGUGAGUAACCUGCCCUUGACUUUGGGAUAACUUCAGGAAACUGGGGCUAAUACCGGAUAGGAGCUCCUGCUGCAUGGUGGGGGUUGGAAAGUUUCGGCGGUUGGGGAUGGACUCGCGGCUUAUCAGCUUGUUGGUGGGGUAGUGGCUUACCAAGGCUUUGACGGGUAGCCGGCCUGAGAGGGUGACCGGCCACAUUGGGACUGAGAUACGGCCCAGACUCCUACGGGAGGCAGCAGUGGGGAAUAUUGCACAAUGGGCGGAAGCCUGAUGCAGCAACGCCGCGUGCGGGAUGACGGCCUUCGGGUUGUAAACCGCUUUCGCCUGUGACGAAGCGUGAGUGACGGUAAUGGGUAAAGAAGCACCGGCUAACUACGUG
rnacentral:rRNA from 1 species